rnacentral:rRNA from 1 species
UAGGAAUUUAGCUUACAGAAGGGGAUAGCCUGGGGAAACCUGGGGUAAUACCGUAUAAAGUCAGAGACCAAAAGCCGGGGACCGAGAGGCCUGGUGCUGUGAGGGGAGCCUAUGUCGGAUUAGCUAGUUGGUAGGGUAAAGGCCUACCAAGGCGACGAUCCGUAGCUGGUCUGAGAGGACGGCCAGCCACACUGGGACUGAGACACGGUCCAGACUCCUACGGGAGGCAGCAGUGGGGAAUAUUGGACAUGGGCGAAAGCCUGAUCCAGCCAUGCGCGUGUGUGAAGAAGGUCUUCGGAUUGAAAGCACUUUAAGUUGGGAGGAAGGGCAUUAACCUAAUACGUUAGUGUUUUGACGUUACCGACAGAAUAAGCCCGGCUAACUCUGUGCCAGCAGCCGCGGUAAUACGAAUCACUAGUGAAUUCGCGGCCGCCUGCAGGUCGACCAUAUGGGAGAGCUCCCA